CAAGCUCAUAAAUACUCUAGCUAGACUCUCAUCUGUUUGAAAUACUUUCAUGACUUGCAUUAUGUCACGCUUCUCAAUGUUCAUGCUUUGUAAUUUUUCUAAAAACCCAAUUGCCAAGUGAUUUGGUUUAGCGUAUCAACGUUGCUUGAAUCUCCAUAGCAUUGGCAAUUUUUUUAGAUAAUUUAGCAAUGCUUGAUAGGGCAGUGAGACUCUCAUCAUUGGACUGGGUACGUCGUCGUCGUCGAAUUUUGUGGGUUCCUCCUUCGACCUUAUGCUUAGGAGCGCGAACUGGACUUGGAUCUAUAUCCUUGUUUUGACCAUCAACUUCAUUCAUAUUUUCAUCUAAGAAAAAAAAGACUUGUUAGGAUCUUUCAUAUAAUAUGAAUUAUGUAAUUUAUUAUUAUUAUUAUUAUUUUAUUUUAUU
rnacentral:lncRNA from 1 species